GUGACUGCGUACCUUUUGUAUAAUGGGUCAGCGACUUAUAUUCUGUAGCAAGGUUAACCGAAUAGGGGAGCCGGAGGGAAACCGAGUCUUAAUUGGGCGUUAAGUUGCAGGGUAUAGACCCGAAACCCGGUGAUCUAGCCAUGGGCAGGUUGAAGGUUGGGUAACACUAACUGGAGGACCGAACCGACUAAUGUUGAAAAAUUAGCGGAUGACCUGUGGCUGGGGGUGAAAGGCCAAUCAAACCGGGAGAUAGCUGGUUCUCCCCGAAAGCUAUUUAGGUAGCGCCUCGUGAAUUCAUCUCCGGGGGUAGAGCACUGUUUCGGCUAGGGGGCCAUCCCGGCUUACCAACCCGAUGCAAACUGCGAAUACCGGAGAAUGUUAUCACGGGAGACACACGGCGGGUGCUAACGUCCGUCGUGAAGAGGGAAACAACCCAGACCGCCAGCUAAGGUCCCAAAGUCAUGGUUAAGUGGGAAACGAUGUGGGAAGGCCCAGACAGCCAGGAUGUUGGCUUAGAAGCAGCCAUCAUUUAAAGAAAGCGUAAUAGCUCACUGGUCGAGUCGGCCUGCGCGGAAGAUGUAACGGGGCUAAACCAUGCACCGAAGCUGCGGCAGCGAACGUAUCACUUAAAGCGAUUCAGCGGGUUACGAUUGACGGAGCGAAGCGACGUCAAAGCGUAUACAAAGUCGAGUCGGUUUAAGGAUACGUUCGUUGGGUAGGGGAGCGUUCUGUAAGCCUGUGAAGGUGGCCUGUGAGGGUUGCUGGAGGUAUCAGAAGUGCGAAUGCUGACAUAAGUAACGAUAAAGCGGGUGAAAAGCCCGCUCGCCGGAAGACCAAGGGUUCCUGUCCAACGUUAAUCGGGGCAGGGUGAGUCGACCCCUAAGGCGAGGCCGAAAGGCGUAGUCGAUGGGAAACGGGUUAAUAUUCCCGUACUUGGUGUUACUGCGAAGGGGGGACGGAGAAGGCUAUGUUGGCCGGGCGACGGUUGUCCCGGUUUAAGCGUGUAGGCUGGUUUUCCAGGCAAAUCCGGAAAAUCAAGGCUGAGGCGUGAUGACGAGGCACUACGGUGCUGAAGCAACAAAUGCCCUGCUUCCAGGAAAAGCCUCUAAGCAUCAGGUAACAUCAAAUCGUACCCCAAACCGACACAGGUGGUCAGGUAGAGAAUACCAAGGCGCUUGAGAGAACUCGGGUGAAGGAACUAGGCAAAAUGGUGCCGUAACUUCGGGAGAAGGCACGCUGACACGUAGGUGAAGUGAUUUACUCAUGGAGCUGAAGUCAGUCGAAGAUACCAGCUGGCUGCAACUGUUUAUUAAAAACACAGCACUGUGCAAACACGAAAGUGGACGUAUACGGUGUGACGCCUGCCCGGUGCCGGAAGGUUAAUUGAUGGGGUCAGCGCAAGCGAAGCUCCUGAUCGAAGCCCCGGUAAACGGCGGCCGUAACUAUAACGGUCCUAAGGUAGCGAAAUUCCUUGUCGGGUAAGUUCCGACCUGCACGAAUGGCGUAAUGAUGGCCAGGCUGUCUCCACCCGAGACUCAGUGAAAUUGAACUCGCUGUGAAGAUGCAGUGUACCCGCGGCAAGACGGAAAGACCCCGUGAACCUUUACUAUAGCUUGACACUGAACAUUGAGCCUUGAUGUGUAGGAUAGGUGGGAGGCUUUGAAGUGUGGACGCCAGUCUGCAUGGAGCCGACCUUGAAAUACCACCCUUUAAUGUUUGAUGUUCUAACGUGGACCCGUGAUCCGGGUUGCGGACAGUGUCUGGUGGGUAGUUUGACUGGGGCGGUCUCCUCCUAAAGAGUAACGGAGGAGCACGAAGGUUGGCUAAUCCUGGUCGG
rnacentral:rRNA from 1 species